rnacentral:rRNA from 1 species
UACGUAGGGUGCGAGCGUUGUUCGGAAUUACUGGGCGUAAAGAGUGUGUAGGCGGUGUUCCAAGUCUGGUGUGAAAUCUCCCGGCUUAACUGGGAGGGUGCGCCGGAAACUGGAAUGCUCGAGGGUGGGAGAGGUAAGCGGAAGUCCUGGUGUAGCGGUGAAAUGCGUAGAUAUACAGGAGGAACACCUGUGGUGUAGACAGCUUACUGGACCACUUCUGACGUGAGACACGAAAGCGUGGGUAGCAAACAGG